CAAGGAAUUAAGAGUUUAUGGGGGAUACCUUGGCAUUCAGAAGCGAUGAAGGACGUGGUUACCGACGAAACGCUUCGGGGAGCUGGAAACAAGCUAUGAUCCGGAGAUCUCCGAAUGAGGAAACUCUAAUACUACUUAUUGAAUACAUAAAUAAGAAAGAGCGAACCUAGGGAACUGAAACAUCUUAGUACCUAGAGGAAAAGAAAGUAAAAACGAUUCCCUUAGUAGCGGCGAGCGAAAUGGGAACAGCCUAAACUUAAUUUUAAGGGUAGCGGGACAAUUAUUAAUGAUUAAAUGUGACAAUUAGACGAACUUAGAUGGAAUGCUAAACCAAAGAGAGUGAUAGUCUCGUAGUCGAAAAUUGAAACAAUCAAAUUGUAUCCCAAGUAGCAUGGAGCACGUGAAAUUCCGUGUGAAUCAGCGAGGACCACCUCGUAAGGCUAAAUAUUCCUGAAUGACCGAUAGUGAAAUAGUACCGUGAGGGAAAGGUGAAAAGAACCCCGGGAGGGGAGUGAAAAGAACAUGAAACCAUAAACUUACAACCAGUAGGAGGACGACUAAAACGUCUGACUGCGUGCCUGUUGAAGAAUGAGCCGGCGACUUAUAAGUAGUGGCAGGUUAAGGUAGAGAAUACCGGAGCCAUAGUGAAAGCGAGCCUGAAUAGGGCGUUUGUCACUGGUUAUAGACCCGAACCCGGAUGAUCUAACCAUGGCCAGGUUGAAGCUUAGGUAAUACUAAGUGGAGGACCGAACCGACUGAUGUUGAAAAAUCAGCGGAUGAGUUGUGGUUAGGGGUGAAAUGCCAAUCGAAUUCGGAGCUAGCUGGUUCUCCCCGAAAUGCGUUUAGGCGCAGCGAUGAAUGUUAUAGCUUAGGGGUAAAGCACUGUUACGUAUGCGGGCUGGUAAUUCGGUACCAAAUCGUUGCAAACUAAGAAUACUAAGUGUACAGUUCAUCAGUGAGACUGUGGGGGAUAAGCUCCAUUGUCAAGAGGGAAACAGCCCAGAGCACCAGUUAAGGCCCCUAAAUAAUUGCUAAGUGAUAAAGGAGGUGGGAGUGCAUAGACAAUCAGGAGGUUUGCUUAGAAGCAGCAAUCCUUUAAAGAGUGCGUAAUAGCUCACUGAUCGAGUAAACCUGCGCCGAAAAUGUACGGGA
rnacentral:rRNA from 11 species